rnacentral:lncRNA from 1 species
GCACCUGGGAAGGAUCCCCAGAACAAAAUGGCCUUUGUGGAAGGGUCUGAUGAGAUCCCCAACACAACUGCAUGGGCCAGGCACCAAAGAGGAAGAUGGAUGCGUGGGACAGAUACAAACUCCUGCCAGGAAUCUUGCCCUUGGCUCCUCGCCGACCUGGCCUGCCAGAGCCCCGGCAGCUGGCUGAUUCCCAAGGGGAAUAAUGAGCUUUGGUUUCCAUCUACCCCUCAGAGACAGUGGCAGAGAGGAGCAGAGCACACAAGCAGACAGCUCCAGCCACAAAGGUGAGGGGGAAUUAUCCUGUGAAAUGAUACAUGUGGGGGUAGCUUCUCUCACUGACUGCCUGCAGGGCUGUCCCCAGCAGCAACGGCCCCUGUUGGCUUAAUUCAGUCUCUACAGCCACUGGUGUCAAUAAAGAAGUUAAAAAAUAAGUUUUAAAAGGCCUG